UGGGGAAUUUUUGACAAUGGGGGCAACCCUGAUCCAGCAAUGCCGCGUGUGUGAAGAAGGCCUUCGGGUUGUAAAGCACUUUUGUCCGGAAAGAAAACUUCGGGGCUAAUACCCCUGGAGGAUGACGGUACCGGAAGAAUAAGCACCGGCUAACUACGUGCCAGCAGCCGCGGUAAUACGUAGGGUGCGAGCGUUAAUCGGAAUUACUGGGCGUAAAGCGUGCGCAGGCGGUGCUGUAAGACCGAUGUGAAAUCCCCGGGCUUAACCUGGGAACUGCAUUGGUGACUGCAGCGCUGGAGUAUGGCAGAGGGGGGUGGAAUUCCACGUGUAGCAGUGAAAUGCGUAGAGAUGUGGAGGAACACCGAUGGCGAAGGCAGCCCCCUGGGCCAAUACUGACGCUCAUGCACGAAAGCGUGGGGAGCAAACAGG
rnacentral:rRNA from 1 species